AUGUCAUGAUGUGGACACUUCCUAAGCAAGUCAUUAAGGCGCUCCCAUGCCUCGUAAAACUAUUUCCCUUCCCCUUAAGAAAAUUCUGUAAUUGAAGUUCUCAUUAU